AACAAAUAUUAAUAUAAGUCUUCUAAACUUAUUUUGGGGUUUCUCAUUUGUUG
rnacentral:tRNA from 1 species